GCGAACGCUGGCGGCAGUGCCUAACACAUGCAAGUCGAGCGAGAAAGGGAGCAUCCUCGGAGUAAGCGGCGGCACGGGUGAGUAACACGUGGGUAAUCGUGCCCUUUGGUACGGAAUACAACUGAGGGAAACGGUCAGCUAAUACCGAUAUGAUGCACGUGUAUGUGGACAAGGAUUAAGGAGCAAUUCGCUCAAGGAGGAGCCCCGCGGCUGGAUUAGCUAGUUGGUGAGGUAAGGCCCACCAAGGCUACGAUCAGUAGCCGGUCUGAGAGGACGGUCGGACACACUGGAACUGAGACACGGUCCAGACUCCUACGGGAGGCAGCAGUGGGGAAUUUUUCGCAAUGGGGGCAACCCUGACGAAGCAACGCCGCGUGGAUGAUGAAGUAUCUCGGGACGUAAAAUCCUUUCGACAGGGAAGAAACCGCAAGGUUGACGGUACCUGUAGAAGAAGCCCCGGCUAACUCCGUGCCAGCAGCCGCGGUAAUACGGGGGGGCUAAGCGUUGUUCGGAAUUACUGGGCGUAAAGGAGCGCGUAGGCGGUUAGCUAAGUUGAAUGUGAAAACUCUGGGCUUAACCCAGAGCCUGCAUUCAAUACUGGCAGGCUAGAGUUCUGGAGGGAUAGCGGAAUUCCUGGUGUAGCGGUGAAAUGCGCUAGAUAUCAGGAGGAACACCGAUGGCGAAGGCAGGCUCUCUGGGCUGUAACUGACGCUGAGGAGCGAAAGCUAGGGGAGCGAACAGGAUUAGAUACCCUGGUAGUCCAUAGCCGUAAACGUUGGAUACUAGGUGACUGGGAUGACAUUCCACGUUUUCCGCGCCGUAGCUAACGCAUUAAGUGCCCGCCUGGGGAGUACGGUCGCAAGGCUGAAACUCAAAGGAAUUGACGGGGGCCCGCACAAGCGGCGGAGCAUGCGGAUUAAUUCGAUGCAACGCGAAGAACCUUACCAAGGCUUGACAUGAACCGGAAAGACAGGUGGAAACAGGUGCCCCGCUUGCGGCCGGUUUACAGGUGGUGCAUGGCUGUCGUCAGCUCGUGUCGUGAGAUGUUGGGUUAAGUCCCGCAACGAGCGCAACCCUGCUUCUAUGUUGCCAGCGCGUUAUGCGGGGCACUCUAAUAGGAGACUGCCGGUGGUCAAACUCGGAGGAAGGUGGGGACGACGUCAAAUCCUCAUGGCCUUUAUGUCCAGGGGCUACACACGUGCUACAAUGGCCGGUACAAAGGGAGUCGCAAGCCGCGAGGUAGAGCAAAUCUCAAGAAAAGCCGGCCCUCAGUUCAGAUUGGAGUCUGCAACCCGCCUCCAUGAAGACUGGAAUCGCUAGUAAUCGCGGAUCAGCUACGCCGCGGUGAAUACGUUCCUGGGCCUUGUACACACCGCCCGUCAAUCCACGAAAGCCUGGCAGUACCUGAAGUCGCGUAUCCAACCGCAAGGAGGGAUAGCCGUCCCACGGUAAGGCCGGUGAUUGGGGCU
rnacentral:rRNA from 1 species